rnacentral:rRNA from 1 species
AACGAACGCUGGCGGCAGGCUUAACACAUGCAAGUCGAGCGCCCCGCCAGGGGAACGUCAGUCUGGUGAGUAACGCGUGGGAACGUACCUUUUGGUUCGGAACAACUCCGUGAAACUGGAGCUAAUACCGGAUAAGCCCUAACGGGGAAAGAUUUAUCGCCGAAAGGUCGGCCCGCGUCUGCUUAGCUAGUUGGUGAGGUAACGGCUCACCAAUGCGACGAUCAGUAGCUGGUCUGAGAGGAUGAUCAGCCACACUGGGACUGAGACACGGCCCAGACUCCUACAGGAGGCAGCAGUGGGGAAUAUUGGAAAAUGGGCGCAAGCACGAUCCAGCCAUGCCGCGUGAGUGAUGAAGGCCUUAGGGUUGUAAAGCUCUUUUGUCCGGGAAGAUAAUGACUGUACCGGAAGAAUAAGCCCCGGCUAACUUCGUG